CCUACGGGUGGCAGCAGUGGGGAAUAUUGCGCAAUGGGCGAAAGCCUGACGCAGCGACGCCGCGUGAGGGAUGAAGGUCUUCGGAUUGUAAACCUCUGUCUUUGGGGAAGAAAAUGACGGUACCCAAAGAGGAAGCUCCGGCUAACUACGUGCCAGCAGCCGCGGUAAUACGUAGGGAGCGAGCGUUGUCCGGAAUUACUGGGUGUAAAGGGAGCGUAGGCGGGCGAGAAAGUUGAAUGUUAAAUCUACCGGCUUAACUGGUAGCUGCGUUCAAAACUUCUUGUCUUGAGUGAAGUAGAGGCAGGAGGAAUUCCUAGUGUAGCGGUGAAAUGCGUAGAUAUUAGGAGGAAAACCAGUGGCGAAGGCGGCCUGCUGGGCUUUAACUGACGCUGAGGCUCGAAAGCGUGGGGAGCAAACAGGAUUAGAUACCCCUGUGUC
rnacentral:rRNA from 1 species